rnacentral:rRNA from 1 species
AGUUUGAUCCUGGCUCAGGAUGAACGCUGGCGGCAUGCCUAAUACAUGCAAGUCGAACGAGAGGAAGGAAAGCUUGCUUUUCUGAAUCUAGUGGCGAACGGGUGAGUAACACGUAGGUAACCUGCCCAUGUGCCCGGGAUAACUUCUGGAAACGGAUGCUAAAACCGGAUAGGUAGCAGACAAGCAUUUGACUGCUAUUAAAGUGGCUAAGGCCAUGAACAUGGAUGGACCUGCGGUGCAUUAGCUAGUUGGUGAGGUAACGGCCCACCAAGGCGACGAUGCAUAGCCGGCCUGAGAGGGCGGACGGCCACAUUGGGACUGAGACACGGCCCAAACUCCUACGGGAGGCAGCAGUAGGGAAUUUUCGUCAAUGGGGGGAACCCUGAACGAGCAAUGCCGCGUGAGUGAGGAAGGUCUUCGGAUCGUAAAGCUCUGUUGUAAGAGAAAAACGACAUUCAUAGGGAAUGAUGAGUGAGUGAUGGUAUCUUACCAGAAAGUCACGGCUAACUACGUGCCAGCAGCCGCGGUAAUACGUAGGUGGCGAGCGUUAUCCGGAAUGAUUGGGCGUAAAGGGUGCGUAGGUGGCAGAACAAGUCUGGAGUAAAAGGUAUGGGCUCAACCCGUACUGGCUCUGGAAACUGUUCAGCUAGAGAACAGAAGAGGACGGCGGAACUCCAUGUGUAGCGGUAAAAUGCGUAGAUAUAUGGAAGAACACCGGUGGCGAAGGCGGCCGUCUGGUCUGUUGCUGACACUGAAGCACGAAAGCGUGGGGAGCAAAUAGGAUUAGAUACCCUAGUAGUCCACGCCGUAAACGAUGAGA